UGAGGAAUUUUGCGCAAUGGAGGAAACUCUGACGCAGCAACGCCGCGUGAGUGAAGAAGGCCCUCGGGUUGUAAAGCUCUGUCAGGUGGGAAGAACCCUCUGUAGUUGAAUAGGCUACAGAACUGACGGUACCACCAAAGGAAGCACCGGCUAACUCCGCGCCAGCAGCCGCGGUAAGACGGAGGGUGCAAGCGUUGUUCGGAAUCACUGGGCGUAAAGCGCGUGUAGGCGGCUUGACAAGUCGAAUGUGAAAGCCCGGGGCUCAACCUCGGAAGUGCAUUCGAAACUGUCAGGCGUGAGUACGGGAGAGGGAAGUGGAAUUCCUGGUGUAUAGGUGAAAUUCGUAGAUAUCAGGAGGAACAACGGUGGCGAAGGCGGCUUCCUGGACCGAUACUGAUGCUGAGACGCGAAAGCGUGGGGAGCAAACA
rnacentral:rRNA from 1 species